CUGCGCUCUUCCCUCAUCCCUAUGUAUUUUUAAAAACCUCAAUUUGUUUAAAAAUACAUAGGGAUGUGGAAAGAGCACAGGU